rnacentral:rRNA from 1 species
GACGAACGCUGGCGGCGUGCUUAACACAUGCAAGUCGAACGGAAAGGCCCGGCUUUUGUGGGGUGCUCGAGUGGCGAACGGGGGAGUAACACGCGAGUAACCUGCACCUGACAUAGGGAUAUCUUCAGGAAACAGGGGCUAAUACCGGAUAGGAGCUCUUGCUGCAUAGGGGGGGUUGGAAAGUUUCGGCGGUGGGGGAUGGACUCGCGGCUUAUCAGCUUGUUGGUGGGGUAGUGGAUUACCAAGGCUUGGACGGGUAGCCGGCCUGAGAGGGUGAGCGGCGACACUGGGACUGAGGUGAGGCACAGACUGCUACGGUACGCAACGGUGCGGAAGCUUGCACGAUGGACGGAGGGAUAGUGCAGCAGCGCCGCGUGCGGGAUGACGGUCUUCGGGUUGUAGACCACUUUUGUCUGUGACGAUGCGUGAGUGACGGUAAUGGAUAAAGAAGCACCGGCUAACUACGUG